AGUCCACGCCGUAAACGAUGUCGACUUGGAGGUUGUGCCCUUGAGGCGUGGCUUCCGGAGCUAACGCGUUAAGUCGACCGCCUGGGGAGUACGGCCGCAAGGUUAAAACUCAAAUGAAUUGACGGGGGCCCGCACAAGCGGUGGAGCAUGUGGUUUAAUUCGAUGCAACGCGAAGAACCUUACCUGGUCUUGACAUCCACAGAAUUUUCCAGAGAUGGAUUGGUGCCUUCGGGAACUGUGAGACAGGUGCUGCAUGGCUGUCGUCAGCUCGUGUUGUGAGAUGUUGGGUUAAGUCCCGCAACGAGCGCAACCCUUAUCCUUUGUUGCCAGCGGUCCGGCCGGGAACUCAAAGGAGACUGCCAGUGAUAAACUGGAGGAAGGUGGGGAUGACGUCAAGUCAUCAUGGCCCUUACGACCAGGGCUACACACGUGCUACAAUGGCGCAUACAAAGAGAAGCGACCUCGCGAGAGCAAGCGGACCUCAUAAAGUGCGUCGUAGUCCGGAUUGGAGUCUGCAACUCGACUCCAUGAAGUCGGAAUCGCUAGUAAUCGUGGAUCAGAAUGCCACGGUGAAUACGUUCCCGGGCCUUGUACACACCGCCCGUCACACCAUGGGAGUGGGUUGCAAAAGAAGUAGGUAGCUUAACCUUCGGGAGGGCGCUUACCACUUUGUGAUUCAUGACUGGGGUGAAGUCGUAACAAGGUAGCCGUA
rnacentral:rRNA from 1 species